rnacentral:rRNA from 1 species
UGCGGAAACGCUUAGGCGACUUGUCUACGAAUUGUAAUCAUAAUAUGCGCGACGGUGAAUCCUUUGCAGACGACUUGAAUGGGAACGGGGUACUGUAAGUGGUAGAGUAGCCUUGUUGCUACGAUCCACUGAGGUUAAGCCCUUGUUCUAAAGAUUUGUUCA